AGUGAACGCUGGCGGUAGGCCUAACACAUGCAAGUCGAACGGCAGCACAGUAAGAGCUUGCUCUUACGGGUGGCGAGUGGCGGACGGGUGCGGAAUACAUCGGAAUCUACUUUUUCGUGGGGGAUAACGUAGGGAGACUUACGCUAAUACCGCAUACGACCUACGGGUGAAAGCAGGGGAUCUUCGGACCUUGCGCGAUUGAAUGAGCCGAUGUCGGAUUAGCUAGUUGGCGGGGGAAAGGGCCACCAAGGCGACGAUCCGUAGCUGGUCUGACAGGAUGAUUAGCUACCUUGUAACUGAGAAACGGUCCACACACCUACGGGGGGAAGCAGUGGGGAAUAUUGGAGAAUGGGGGAAAGCCUGAUCCAGCCAUACCGCGUGGGUGAAGAAGGCCUUCGGGUUGUAAAGCCCUUUUGUUGGGAAAGAAAAGCAGCAGGUUAAUACCCCGCUGUUCUGACGGUACCCAAAGAACAAGCACCGGCUAACUUCGUG
rnacentral:rRNA from 1 species